rnacentral:rRNA from 1 species
AUUGAACGCUGGCGGCAGGCCUAACACAUGCAAGUCGAACGAGUGGCGGACGGGUGAGUAAUGUCUGGGAAACUGCCAGAUGGAGGGGGAUAACUACUGGAAACGGUAGCUAAUACCGCAUACCAUCGGAUGUGCCCAGAUGGGAUUAGCUAGUAGGUGGGGUAACGGCUCACCUAGGCGACGAUCCCUAGCUGGUCUGAGAGGAUGACCAGCCCCACUGGAACUGAGACACGGUCCAGCAUCCUACGGGAGGCAGCAGUGGGGAAUAUUGCACAAUGGGCGCAAGCCUGAUGCAGCCAUGCCGCGUGUAUGAAGAAGGCCUUCGGGUUGUAAAGUACUUUCAGCAGGGAGGCGUGACUCGAAGAAGAAGCACCGGCUAACUCCGUGCCAGCCGCCGCGGUAAUUC